rnacentral:rRNA from 1 species
AGAGUUUGAUCCUGGCUCAGGACGAACGCUGGCGGCAUGCUUAACACAUGCAAGUCACGGGGGCGGAGCAAUCCGCAACCGGCGAACGGGUGCGUAACACGUGAGCAAUCUACCGAUUUGAGGGGGAUAGCCGGCCCAACGGCCGGGUAAUACCGCAUACGCUCACCGAGCGGAGUCGUUUGGUGAGGAAACCUCCGGGGCAAAUCGAGGAGCUCGCGGCCUAUCAGCUCGUUGGCGGGGUAACGGCCCACCAAGGCGACGACGGGUAGCUGGUCUGAGAGGAUGGCCAACCACAUUGGGACUGAGAGACGGCCCAGACUCCUACGGGAGGCAGCAGUGGGGAAUCUUGCGCAAUGGCCGCAAGGCUGACGCAGCGACGCCGCGUGUGGGAGGACGCCCUUCGGGGUGUAAACCACUGUUGCCCGGGACGAAUGCCCCUUCGAGGGGAGUGACGGUACCGGGAGAAAGCCCCGAG